CCUACGGGAGGCUGCAGUGAGGAAUAUUUGUCAAUGGGCGCGAGCCUGAACCAGCCAAGCCGCGUGAAGGAUGACUGCCCUACGGGUUGUAAACUUCUUUUAUAAAGGAAUAAAGUGAGGCACGUGUGCCUUUUUGUAUGUACUUUAUGAAUAAGGAUCGGCUAACUCCGUGCCAGCAGCCGCGGUAAUACGGAGGAUCCGAGCGUUAUCCGGAUGUAUUGGGUUUAAAGGGAGCGUAGAUGGGUUGUUAAGUCAGUUGUGAAAGUGUGGGGCUCAACCGUAAAAUUGCAAUUGAUACUGGCAGUCUUGAGUACAGUAGAGGUAGGCGGAAUUCGUGGUGUAGCGGUGAAAUGCUUAGAUAUCACGAAGAACUCCGAUUGCGAAGGCAGCUUACUAAACUGCCACUGACAUUGAUGCUCGAAGGUGUGGGUAUCAAACAGGAUUAGAUACCCUAGUAGUC
rnacentral:rRNA from 1 species